UACGGGGGGAGCAAGCGUUGUUCGGAUUUACUGGGCGUAAAGGGCGCGUAGGCGGCCAGCACAAGUCAGUUGUGAAAUCUCCGGGCUUAACUCGGAAAGGUCAACUGAUACUGUGCGACUAGAGUGCAGAAGGGGCAACUGGAAUUCUCGGUGUAGCGGUGAAAUGCGCAGAUAUCAGGAGGAACACCGGUGGCGAAGGCGGGUCUCUGGGCCGUAACUGACGCUGAGGAGCGAAAGCGUGGGGAGCGAACAGG
rnacentral:rRNA from 1 species